AAAAAGAAGAAAAGCUGGGCAGCAGCAUUACACCAAAAACGGGAAGGCUCCUCUCCUUCUUCUCCAUUCCCACUCGAGCUCUCACACUCACGCACAACAUCUGAAAUUCGAAAUUAGCGAAAGUUUAAAAAUCUUAGAUCUGAACCUUUCAGCUUUAGGUUUGAGAGAGACACACAAAAAUAAUUCAAUAUAGAUCUAUUUGGUAGUCAUUUAAAGGGUAUACAUUUAUGAUGCCAGGAAUUUUCUCCACUGUUUCUCCUGGGUUUUGAGCUGGUUAUUUUUUACUGGAAGUUGAAGCUGCUUCUCUAUUGAAUUUGUGUUGCUGAAUUUCAAUUAUCUUUUCAGCCUUAUUUGGCACUUCUAGAUCGUUUUCUUGCUGUUGAGUUUUGCUUCUUUGUAUGCAACAAAAGAUUGAGCUAUUAAAGGAUUAUUUUACUGAAAAUCGGUGUUGUUACUGCUUUUUCGGAUCCCGUCGCUAUUAUUUCUACUUGAUUUUUGGUUAUUUCAGCUUGAUAUUCGGAUGCUGCCUCGCUGAGCUUGAUAUACUAUUGAAAUCAGUUGAUUUUCUACACUCUAGCUUGUGUGAUAUUCAUUUAAAAGUUCCGUUCGAGAUUCCGGCGAGGUUCCGGCGCUGCUACGUGUGCUGUUCAAGUUUUCCAAUUUUGGUCCGGUUGACAGUUCGAUGUCGGUUGCUGGUUUGAGUUUCCGUCCGAGCUUCCGUCUGUUCCGAAUUUUUGUUGUGGCUUCAGCGUUGCUGUCUCAUCGCUGAAUUUAGCUGUUCAUCCUUGCUGGGCUUCAACAUUUUCUUAUCUCGCUCUCAUUUGGUUUUAAGAAUUGGUUUGGGGUGCAACAGGUACUCUUUCUCAUAUUUGAAUUACUGUUGUAUAAGAAUGAUCUAUUUCCUUUGGGUUUUUCAUAUAUAAAAAUCUGAUUCUCUUUCAUAUUAUGAACUUCUCUGGAUAUGGCUGUUGCUGGUGAAUUUAAAUUUGCUGCUGUGUUUGGUGUAUACGUUACCCUGUUCUCGGUGUGUUAAUUGAUUUAUCUUGGUGUAGAGUUUGUCGUUUGUAAGACAUUUCCGUCUACAAUCCUUUUGUAUGUAACUCAUAUGAACCUUUAUAUUUGUAAUUGUUUGGAUGAUGUUCUGUAUCGUAGUACAAUUGGUAUUUGUGUAUUGAUCGGAUGAAGGAAAAGAAUGGAUCUAUUUUUAAUUGCUAGCACAAAGUCAUUUACAAGUUACGGUUAUAUAGUACAUCUAUUUGCAAUAGCUACAUUUAUAAUCGUUAUAUUUAUAAUUGCUAAAAGUCUGAGAAUGCUUGAAGUCCUUUGCUCAACCCAAAUAUUGAACAAUAGUGAUGGCGGACUACUGUUUAAUGAGGUAAGUAGUUAGUUGAAGUUGUUCGAGGUGUGCCUUUAGUAAAUUUCAUGGCCCUCGCAAAGUAGAAAAUUGUAGUUGAUUUAGGUUUACCCUUUAAAAUAAAUGAGGCGAGCUUCGCCCAAUAAAAUAUAAAAUUACGGGGUCCUCAAUAAAAGCUAAAAAAUAUUUAGAAUUCCGGGAUGGGCCGUUUAGCGAAUUUCACGGCUCUCCCAAAAGAUAAUAACGCGCUAGACUCUUUUAGGCGCGUAUUUUAAUAAUUUUACCUUCUUAAAUAUGGGUGUGCAUUGACUCCGACCCAAAUCCAAAUCUCGAUGAAGUUGAAAUGUGUCAAUGACGACGUGUUCCUUGAUGGCGACGCGGUUAGAGAUGUGUUUUCACGACGUCGCAAGUCUUUUAAAAAUAAAUAUAGAUAAAAGCGGUUUAUAAAUAAAAGACAUAUAAGUUAGCAUGCUUUAAAAUCAGGUUUUAAUAAAAUAUAAUAAUUUAAGCGACCGUGCUAGAACCACACGAUCCGAGGGUGCCUAACACCUUCCCUCGGGUCAACAUAAUUCCUUAUUCAGAAUUUCUUGUUCGCUGACUCCAAUCGGAAGUCAAAAGUUUCCUCGGUUCGGGAUACAAGAAAAAACCAGUGACUUGGGACACCAAAAGCCAAACCUUUCCCAAGUGGUGACUCUGAAUAAAUAAAUAAUUCCGAUCCGAAUAAUGUCACUUUAAAUGGAAAAACUCCCUUAUACAUUAUCCUUCGGGGUAAGGUGUGUAAAAAGGAGGUGUUACAGUUUGUGUUGCUUGUUUUGUCGUUAAACCCUUUCACCGUCUGUUUAAUACAAUUCUUUGUUUUGUGCCAUUUCUAGUCAUUUUUGUUUAGUUCUCUUUUCUUUCUACAAAUCUUUUCCUGUUAGAUUUAGUGACAUGGCAUGCACGCAUAAUUUUCAGUCGGAUGUUUAAAAUCUAUGUUUGGUCGGAAAGCAAUGAAACCAUUCUGAAGACGAUGAGGGCACUUUGAGGAAAUAAGAGUAGAUUUGGACGUUGUGAGAUUGUUUGACGCCCGAACCAUGUGAAACUGGGGCAAGUAAAAC
rnacentral:lncRNA from 1 species